AAUCAACGCUGGCGGCGUGCCUAACACAUGCAAGUCGAACGCGAAAGUCCCGCAAGGGAUUAGUAGAGUGGCAAACGGGUGAGUAACACGUGGGUGACCUGCCUUCGAGUGGGGGAUAACGUCCCGAAAGGGACGCUAAUACCGCAUGACAUCCUGCCUUUUAACAGGCGGAGAUCAAAGCUGGGGAUCGCAAGACCUAGCGCUUGAAGAGGGGCCCGCGCCUGAUUAGCAGUUGGUGAGGUAACGGCUCACCAAGGCGACGAUCAGUAUCCGGCCUGAGAGGGCGGACGGACACACUGACACUGAAUAACGGGUCAGACUCCUACGGGAGGCAGCAGUCGGGAAUUUUGGGCAAUGGGCGAAAGCCUGACCCAGCAACGCCGCGUGAAGGAUGAAGUAUUUCGGUAUGUAAACUU
rnacentral:rRNA from 1 species